rnacentral:rRNA from 1 species
GAUGAACGCUGGCGGCGUGCUUAACACAUGCAAGUCGAACGGUGAACACGGAGCUUGCUCUGUGGGAUCAGUGGCGAACGGGUGAGUAACACGUGAGCAACCUGCCCCUGACUCUGGGAUAAGCGCUGGAAACGGCGUCUAAUACUGGAUAUGUGACGUGACCGCAUGGUCUGCGUUUGGAAGGAUUUUUCGGUUGGGGAUGGGCUCGCGGCCUAUCAGCUUGUUGGUGAGGUAAUGGCUCACCAAGGCGUCGACGGGUAGCCGGCCUGAGAGGGUGACCGGCCACACUGGGAUUGAGACACGGCCCAGACUCCUACGGGAGGCAGCAGUGGGGAAUAUUGCACAAUGGGCGAAAGCCUGAUGCAGCAACGCCGCGUGAGGGAUGACGGCCUUCGGGUUGUAAACCUUUUUUAGCAGGGAAGAAGCGAAAGUGACGGUACCUGCAGAAAAAGCGCCGGCUAACUACGUG